GGGGGCGAAAGGGCUCGACGGGGGUUAUGAGNNGAACUGGCACUCGCUGCUUAAUUAAAGCAGCACGCUCCCCUGGGAUUGCCUGUGUCUUGGGGAGAGCGUCGAGCAGCAGGCUGGCCUCAGGAAUUUCCUCUGACUCUGGGGCGAGAUAAAGGGGGAUGGGAUGAUGAAAAGCCUUUCUAUCGGCGGGUUAUCAUCUGAGAUUGAAAAGAUAGGAUAAACAUGUAGAAACCUGAGGGUAGUGCUUUCGGACGCGGGUUCG
rnacentral:tmRNA from 1 species